AUUGAACGCUGGCGGCAGGCCUAACACAUGCAAGUCGAGCGGAUGACGGGAGCUUGCUCCUUGAUUCAGCGGCGGACGGGUGAGUAAUGCCUAGGAAUCUGCCUGGUAGUGGGGGACAACGUUUCGAAAGGAACGCUAAUACCGCAUACGUCCUACGGGAGAAAGCAGGGGACCUUCGGGCCUUGCGCUAUCAGAUGAGCCUAGGUCGGAUUAGCUAGUUGGUGAGGUAAUGGCUCACCAAGGCGACGAUCCGUAACUGGUCUGAGAGGAUGAUCAGUCACACUGGAACUGAGACACGGUCCAGACUCCUACGGGAGGCAGCAGUGGGGAAUAUUGGACAAUGGGCGAAAGCCUGAUCCAGCCAUGCCGCGUGUGUGAAGAAGGUCUUCGGAUUGUAAAGCACUUUAAGUUGGGAGGAAGGGCAGUAAGCUAAUAUCUUGCUGUUUUGACGUUACCGACAGAAUAAGCACCGGCUAACUCUGUGCCAGCCGCCGCGGUAAGAC
rnacentral:rRNA from 1 species